GACAGAGGUGCCGAGCGUUAGGCGGAAUCACUGGGCUUAAAGCGUGUGUAGGCGGGUCGUUAAGUGUCUUGUGAAAUCCCCCGGCUCAACCGGGGAAUGGCUGGGCAUACUGGCGAUCUUGAGCAGUCUAGGGGCAGAUGGAACAAGUGGUGGAGCGGUGAAAUGCGUAGAUAUCACUUGGAACGCCAAAGGUGAAAACAGCUCGCUGAGGCUGCGCUGACGCUGAGACACGAAAGCCAGGGGAGCGAACGGG
rnacentral:rRNA from 1 species